CCCCUGCAGAGGGUUAUAUUGACACUGAACCUGCUGCAGCUGAGGCAGUGGUGUUGCAAGAGUCUGUUGAGACGGCCCUUGUGCCUUCUGUUGAGACGGCCCUUGUGCCUUCUGUUGAGACGGCCCUUGGGCCUUCUGUUGAGACGGCCCUUGGGCCCUCUGUUGAGACGGCCCUUGGGCCCUCUGUUGAGACGGCCCUUGGGCCCUCUGUUGAGACGGCCCUCUGUUGAGACGGCCCUUGGGCCCUCUGUUGAGACGGCCCUUGGGCCCUCUGUUGAGACGGCCCUUGGGCCCUCUGUUGAGACGGCCCCUGUCGAGGAGCCUGCCCCUGCACCUCCUGCUGAAGAGAUUCCUCCACCUGCCCCUGUUGAGGAGGUUGCUGCCCCACCUACAGCUGAAGAGGCGGCAUCUACACCUGUUGAGGAGGCUGCUCCUCCAGCUCCAACAGAGGAGCCAUCUGUGUUUGUAAUAGUAACUGCUGAUGAGCUUGCAGUUUACAAAGACACCCACAGGGAGAAGGGUGCAGGCCAUCAUCUACAUCCACCAGAACAAACAGCCAUCUUUACACUCUUCUUCCAGGGCCACAACACAAGGUUUACUUACCAGCGCUUACACGGAGUGUACAAAACAUUAAGAACACCCUUUGCCCUCAGAACAGCCUCAAUUUGUGGAGUCCACAAAUUAUGUUACUAACCAAACUGGACCAUUACACUAAAUAUAUCUAUUUUCUUUACUAGGGACUACUUGGGUCACUGCUAUGCUGUCACUUUUUUUGUCAGCCACAUUCACGUGGUGAAUGCCUGUUAUUAGUCUGGUCAGUCUAUGUAAAUAUUUUCCAUGUGGCAUUUCGUAAACGAGUGAGCCGUUUUAACACACAUCCAUGUUUUUAUAGCAUUUGUAAGACUUUAUAGAACUACUGAGUUGAACCUUUUUGUAAAACCCCAAUGUUUAUGGAUGUGUGCAGCUCUUGCACAAGUUAGACACUCACAAAUAAGCCCACAUAGAGGAACCUGGAAGUCAUGUUACAUUAUGAACUGGCCAGUUUGAUAUGCGUGUUUGGAUCAUUGGAAUAAUGUCCUUGUACUUGAUGUCAGUUAGUAUUUUCAAAAGGAAAUGUUUCAAACAUAUUUGUUUGUAUUUUAAUAGAACUGUCAACAUAUUUAAACUUUUUUUUAUAUAUAUAUAUAUUAGGCUAUUUUACAGUACAGCCAAGAGGACAUAUUUUACAUGUUUUAUCACUCCCUUUUCUUUUUUUAUAAAUGAAAAUCACUUCACGAAUUGACUGCCUUCAAUUUGAAAUCACCCCAGCCCUGAUCUUCACAAUGAUAAUCAUGUUUCAGAUGUGUGCAAUAUGCAAUAUAAUUUUGGUGCAAUAUAAUUGCCAAAUAGGGAAUAAAGGCAUUUUCCUUCAUUCUCCUUUUUUGUAAUUUUAAUCAGAGCAGAGAAAAAGUGCAAAUGGUAAAUAAAGUAUUGUGAUAGUCAUGCAAAGUAAUUGUGAAUGAUAUGAGUAUUUGAUUUCAAACACUAGAGGGCGAUAGUGUUAAUAUAUGCCUUUCGGGCAAAACCAGAAUAAGAAUGAACCAAGUCCAUGUUUAGGGGAAGGAAGUACAUUGUUUACAAAAAGGACUUAUUGGAAUGAGGGACACUUGAUUAUUUCAAAUUCAGAGAGGAGUUCCCAGAUAAUGAUAAGCUUAUAUCAAACCAAUAAUGAGUGGUUUGGAGGGAAUGAGUGGCUAACUGUAAAUUUCGCUAAGCAAUCCCUAGCCUGCUAUUCAGUGGAGAGGGUGUGUGUGGUCCAAGUCUGGGUUUAAGGCUCUCUUUUCCAAGCUUAAAAGGAUUAACAUUCACUUGCAACACAUCAUAGGCCAGAGAAGGUUGAAUACAUUGGCCAUGCUGUCAAUCCAGCAUGACUUCUGCCGCAUCCAAAACUGGGAACUGGGAAAUCUCAGACUUCAGUGAGUUCAAGACAACUGGGAACUCUGGAAAAAAUUGAGCUCCGAUUGGAAAAAUACAUUUUGAAAGGUCAUCUCACUUGGAAUUCUAAGUCAGGAACUCGGGCCUCUUUCUAGAGCUGCGACCUGAAGAUCACUGAUGUCAUGAUUCAACCUUGUUUUUUCCAGAGUUCCCAGUUGUCUUGAAAGCACCAUCAAUCCAGAGAAUGCUAGACUUUGAUUGCAAAGUUUGACCAAAUUUGCCCUCAAGAAGGACCGCCGCGCCACUUUCCUGUUUAAGUGAGCACAGCACAAGGUGAGUCCAAAAAUGUCUUGUAUGCUGCUGCAUAAAUUAUGUAAUAUGCUAUGGAGCUAUGUAUGCCGUAGCUAAGAAAGUAAUACUAAGUGUAUGUUGUGUAGUAAGCUGUUAGUAGCCCAUGUGCAUCACUUUAAUAAUUUGGUCCCUUUCCCCAUAACUUAACCUACUGUUCUGACAUGGUGGUGCACAUGUAGCCUAUAACUUGUUUUAGAAUCAAAUCAAAUGUAUUUGUCACAUACACAUGGUUAGCAGAUGUUAAUGCGAGUGUAGUGAAAUGCUUGUGCUUCUAGUUCCGACCAUGCAGUAAUAUCUAACAAGUAAUAUAACCUAACCAUUUCAUAACUACCUUAUACACACAAGUGUAAAGGAAUGAAUACGAAUAUGUACAUAAAAAUAUAUAGAGAACUGUAAUCAUCGAAUAUUGUAAGAGCUUUCAUUGUCUGCUUAUAUGCUCCCUUUUAUUUAUCCUACGGUUCUGACUUGGUGUACAGGGAGAAUACUGUAAGAACGGCCAAUGUUCUGAAUUCUGUCAUUGUACAUUUCAAAUAGUUAUAUCGACUACGUCAUCAUUGCUCGCUCAUUAAUGUCUUAAUCGAAAUUACGGAUUCACUCUUACCUGCUCGUUGUUCCCUUAUGCCAUAGUUUGUACAUCUCAAUUGUCAUUAGAAACCAUAUUUGUUUAAGCAAGUCAGCCAUAUCAGCUAGGUUUUUUCAAAGGCAGUAAAUGAGUGAACUGUUUCGCUGCCAGACAAGGCUGCGCUGUUAGCCAUGUUUAGCGGUGGAUUCACUCCAUGGUGCUGAAAAGAAAGCUCUGCUGUUGGGACAGCUUUACGGAUAAAGCACUAAAUAAACUUCAGUUAGUGCUAAACACGGCAGCUAGAAUCUUGACUAGAACCCCAAAAUCCAAUUCACACACUUAUCAAGAGUACAUCCCUACAGACUGAUCCGGUGGGCUCACUAAACUCCGACGCUUCAUUUGUAAAUUAUGUCUGAGUGUUGGAGUUGCCGUCUAGUUUGCUUAAUAUAAGGAAUUUGAAAUGAUUUAUACUUUUAUUUUUUAUACUUAAGUAUAUAUUAGCAAUUAAAUUUACUUAUACUAAUAAUAAUAUAAUAAUAAUAUUCUUAAGUAUAUUUAAAACCACAUACUUUUAGACUUU
rnacentral:lncRNA from 13 species